GACAGAGGUGCCGAGCGUUAGGCGGAAUCACUGGGCUUAAAGCGUGUGUAGGCGGGCGAUCAAGUACCUUGUGAAAUCCCACGGCUCAACCGUGGAACCGCUGGGUAUACUGGUUGUCUUGAGCCGGCUAGGGGCGAGCGGAACAGACGGUGGAGCGGUGAAAUGCGUAGAUAUCGUCUGGAACGCCGAAGGUGAAAACAGCUCGCUGGGGCCGCGCUGACGCUGAGACACGAAAGCCAGGGGAGCGAACGAG
rnacentral:rRNA from 1 species